rnacentral:rRNA from 1 species
GAUGAACGCUAGCGAUAGGCCUAACACAUGCAAGUCGAGGGGCAGCACGGGAGCAAUCCUGGUGGCGACCGGCGCACGGGUGAGUAGCACGUAUGCAACCUACCCAUAACAGAGGGAUAGCCCGUCGAAAGACGGAUUAAUACCUCAUAAUGCAGGGGUCUCACAUGAGAAUAUUUGCUAAAGAUUUAUCGGUUAUGGAUGGGCAUGCGCAGGAUUAGGUAGUUGGUGAAGGUAACGGCUCACCAAGCCAUCGAUCCUUAGGGGAACUGAGAGGUUAAUCCCCCACACUGGUACUGAGACACGGACCAGACUCCUACGGGAGGCAGCAGUGAGGAAUAUUGGUCAAUGGUCGAGAGACUGAACCAGCCAAAUCGCGUGAAGGAUGAAGGUAUUAUGUAUUGUAAACUUCUUUUAUAAGGGAAUAAAGUGCGCCACGUGUGGUGUUUUGUAUGUACCUUAUGAAUAAGCAUCGGCUAACUCCGUGCCAGCAGCCGCGGUAAUACGGAGGAUGCGAGCGUUAUCCGGAUUUAUUGGGUUUAAAGGGUGCGUAGGUGGAUAUUUAAGUCAGCGGUGAAAUCUUGGAGCUUAACUCCGAAACUGCCGUUGAAACUGGGUAUCUUGAGAGUGAACGAGGUAGGCGGAAUUUAUAGUGUAGCGGUGAAAUGCUUAGAUAUUAUAAAGAACUCCGAUAGCGCAGGCAGCUUACCAGGUCACAUCUGACACUGAGGCACGAAAGCGUGGGUAUCAAACAGGAUUAGAUACCCUGGUAGUCCACGCAGUAAACGAUGAUUACUCGCUGUUUGCGAUAUACAGCAAGCGGCUUAGCGAAAGCGUUAAGUAAUCCACCUGGGGAGUACGCCGGCAACGGUGAAACUCAAAGGAAUUGACGGGGGCCCGCACAAGCGGAGGAACAUGUGGUUUAAUUCGAUGAUACGCGAGGAACCUUACCCGGGCUCGAACGGCUAUAGAAUAAUUGUGAAAGCAGUUAGCCAGCAAUGGCUGUAGUCGAGGUGCUGCAUGGUUGUCGUCAGCUCGUGCCGUGAGGUGUCGGCUUAAGUGCCAUAACGAGCGCAACCCUUAUCAUUAGUUACUAGCAGGUAAAGCUGAGGACUCUAGUGAGACUGCCACCGUAAGGUGAGAGGAAGGUGGGGAUGACGUCAAAU